rnacentral:rRNA from 1 species
GCACCGGCUAACUCCGUGCCAGCAGCCGCGGUAAUACGGAGGGUGCGAGCGUUAAUCGGAAUUACUGGGCGUAAAGCGCAUGCAGGCGGUUUGUUAAGUACAGAUGUGAAAGACCCGGGGCGUCUAACCUCGGAACUUGCAUUUUGAAACUAGGCAGACUAGAGUACUGUAGAGGGGGGGUAGGAAUUUCAGGUGUAGCGGUGAAAUGCGUAGAGAUCUGAAGGAAUACCGGUGGCGAAGGCGGCCCCCUCGGACAGAUACUGACACUCAGAUGCGAAAGCGUGGGGAGCAAACAGGAUUAGAUACCCUGGUAG